GACUCCUUGCUGGAUUGUUUACGGCUGUGAGUUAACAGGAUGGCAGCUCUGUUACGAAUGGAGGAUACGACGGUUGCUUGGACUCUUGGUCAAAAUCAGAUCAAUGGCUGGUUCGCUUGCUGUGGAUCUGGCUGGUCCUACAGGUGGGGUGGAGGUUUAAUCGCCAGGCUGCUCUCUGAUACGUUUCUCGGACCAUCUCAUGGGCUAGGCCCUUGCGGGACAAGGGGAAAGGCAAAGGCAAGGUCGUGGUUUUGAGGAGGCCCGUGAUCACGUCGGAAGGACAAUCCUGAUGAACGACCACGGUAAACAAAUAAGCCCGAGUACCUUGGCCAGAUUCCAGUUCAGGUAAUUACAUUCUGUCUUCCGAAAUUCCCUUGUAGCUCCAAUUGGGCAAGCUGCUCGUCACUUCCCUCCUAAAGGCUGAUGUGCGGGGUGCCUGGCGCCGGAUGGGGUGGCUUCCAAGAGUGAGUCCCACGGCGUUCGGUGGAAACGCAUUUCGAGAGGCUUCAGCGUGCAGGGCUUGUGUGCACAUGGAAGGCGUAUUUAUUGCUCUUUCCAUCAGUGGCUGCCAACCCGAAACUGUCUCUGGAUGACAUUUUAAACAUGAAGGCCGGGGGCAUUAGGACGAUGCGAUCCGAAGUCCGUUUGUCUCACCUUUGGGAUUGUUGGGCGCUGAACCCGGGGUGGGGAGGAAAGGAAGGAGGGAAACGCCCUGUCCUGGGAAACCCUCUUACGCUUCAUUUUCCACAAAAUGGCUCUUUUCUUUUUUUUCCUAUUUUCUGAUUAAAAUUAAGGGGGAGUUAUUGGGCUUUUGUGUUUUUGUUUGUAUUUUUCUAAGGGUAAAUCUGGACAUGGAGGGGUUUUCCAUGUGUAUAGGACUGAAAUGACAUGCCCCCUUUAAAAAAGUCGGAUUCACUUCAUUUAAAGUUAAUUCUUUAAGUGUUUAUUGAGUCUCUACCAUGUCCCAGACCUCUGUCAAAGGGCUCUUUUGCCACGGAAGCACUUUCCUUUUUUAACCUUUUCCUUAAUAUUUCUCUUCCUCAUGGAUACCAGUGUGUUUCUCAAAAACAAUGCAGGUACUUUUUAUAAAAGAGCAUCUGUAGGAUAAACAAAGCAUGAGAUUGACCUGCCUGUGUUUCUGUGAUUUGUCCUCGUGCCUUUGCGGAGCCAGCGGCCUUGGGUGGUGGGACAUUUCCUGAGAUGGACACCAGUCGUCGCCCCAAACGGGAAUUUAGGAGGAGUCCUGAAAGAUAAAAAAGAAGACCAGAUGCAUGAAAAGCAUUAUCCUUUAGAAAAUAAGCAGAAGGGUAAAGGGAUCCUUUUUCCAGUCGCCAUUAGAGACUCGGGAACCUGCUGCCGCGGACCUCCUGUCAGUUCUGUUUUUGGCCUAAUUCCUACACAGUAGGGAUGCCAGGCUUAAGAGAUGGCCUUUCUGAAGGAGGCGGUGCAAUGCCCCGGGGGGGGGUACCCCAUCAGCUGUCCUGGUCGGCGGUCUUCCCACAUACUUCGAAGCAGACAGAUCUCCCCAGUACUUUUAGUUUGUAUCUUCUGUUAAUUUUCCCUACCUUGUGUCCUUCCACUACUAAGUGCCACAAAUUGAUGGCCCUG